AUUGAACGCUGGCGGCAUGCCUUACACAUGCAAGUCGAACGGUAACGCGGGGGGCAACCCUGGCGACGAGUGGCGAACGGGUGAGUAAUACAUCGGAACGUACCCAGUAGUGGGGGAUAGCUCGGCGAAAGCCGGAUUAAUACCGCAUACGACCUAUGGGUGAAAGCGGGGGAUCGCAAGACCUCGCGCUAUUGGAGCGGCCGAUGUCGGAUUAGCUAGUUGGUGAGGUAAAGGCNCACCAAGGCUACGAUCCGUAGCUGGUCUGAGAGGACGACCAGCCACACUGGGACUGAGACACGGCCCAGACUCCUACGGGAGGCAGCAGUGGGGAAUUUUGGACAAUGGGCGCAAGCCUGAUCCAGCCAUGCCGCGUGUGUGAAGAAGGCCUGGUGUAAG
rnacentral:rRNA from 1 species